AUACGUGGAUCUCACCCAACACACACUAGCGAGAAUUUAUUCUGUGCGGAGACCGGAUGCAGAAUGCUAUCCGGAGAUUAACCAGAAUGUGUCAUACCAGCGGUACCGAGCCGUGGUACUGAACGGUACCGAGCCGCGGUACCGAGCACAUGGGUGACGUGGCACAUUCUGGUUAGUUUCCGAACGACUUUCGACGUUUGCACAAAAUUAUUAAUCCACACUAGCAGAUGUCUAGUGCAUAUAUUCUCAUCUUGUUCUCAUGCACUUGGAUGCUUAACUAUACAUCAUGUCCAGGAAAAAAAAAUUAUAUAACACAGAUUGGCCUGUUAAGAUGUCUUGCUCAAAUCUCUCCUCAUUCCCUUUCCUUUGAUCGGUUUUUCCUGUUUAAUUUGCUCCAUGAAGCAAGUGGUAGGAUCCACUUUUUCCCUGGUCAACUGCUAAUUGAUUGGGAAUACCUAUUCAAGUGCUCUAAAGCAGGAAGGCAUGAGGUUACAUUAUUUUGGGGCAUUACUGGAACAGCUAGUCUCGCCAAUAGUCUGACCUAAUAAAUAUGCUUUGUUAUUACAUGAGAUAUCUGUCUUGCUGUUGCAUCCUUCAGUCCUUCACGUUGACAAUAGACUAUAACACUACCUGCAUUUGAGUACUCUUUAUUUUUGGUGGAUUUUGAGGAAUGGACAUUGAAAGAAAUUCCCAUUGGAUGGAGUCUCUCAUGCUUCCACGUGAUGGUAUUUUAUUAUAGUUAUUGUCGAAAGCUCUCUGAUGCCUUAAUUGUCUUGACUGGCUUUACUGUAAUCUUUUCGGUAACAUUUUCUGAACCUUCUUGCCUGGUUCUUAAAUCAAUAAAAUGUCAGCUAAGUUUGAGCUUGUUCAAUUCUGCUGAAGAGACAAAACAAUAAAGUAGAAAACUUGGAAAUUUAGUUGCUUCAUCAUUUUAUAAUUCCUGUUUUGAAGAAUUAUCAAGGUUGUUUCAAAUGACUGUCCUUAUCAUUGUAGUGGGGAUUGCCUAAUGGUGGCCCCUUGCACUUAAUGCUUCCUGAGCUGAGAGUCAAAAGGUUACCUCUUGCUGGAUGGGUUGCUGCUAAUUUACCGUUCAGGAGGGAAAGACAAAAUGCUCUUGGCUAAUUCAGGGGCUUUUGGAGGUUUGAGUAGUGGCCAUGUUUUAGAGAUGAUGAGCUUUACAAGUUACUUGUUUUUAGUGGAAUCUGAGGCAACACGAAGGCUGAGGAAGCUACCUUGAAGGUCGGUAUGAUAGUUUUGUGACUUUCUUCUUCAUUGAGCUUUUUAAGUCUGGUGCCUUACUGGAACUGUCAUGUCACGUCAAGGACAAUACGAAAUUGUUACCAAUAGAAUCAUAGAAAUCGAGUUUAAUGAACCUGUAAGGCGAACCAUUAACCCUUUAACAUAUCAGAUAAUAAAAACCCACUACUUAGCAAUUCAGCUGAG